rnacentral:rRNA from 1 species
UUGAACGCUGGCGGCAGGCCUAACACAUGCAAGUCGAACGGUAACAGGAAGCAGCUUGCUGCUUUGCUGACGAGUGGCGGACGGGUGAGUAAUGUCUGGGAAACUGCCUGAUGGAGGGGGAUAACUACUGGAAACGGUAGCUAAUACCGCAUAACGUCGCAAGACCAAAGAGGGGGACCUUAGGGCCUCUUGCCAUCGGAUGUGCCCAGAUGGGAUUAGCUAGUAGGUGGGGUAACGGCUCACCUAGGCGACGAUCCCUAGCUGGUCUGAGAGGAUGACCAGCCACACUGGAACUGAGACACGGUCCAGACUCCUACGGGAGGCAGCAGUGGGGAAUAUUGCACAAUGGGCGCAAGCCUGAUGCAGCCAUGCCGCGUGUAUGAAGAAGGCCUUCGGGUUGUAAAGUACUUUCAGCGGGGAGGAAGGGAGUAAAGUUAAUACCUUUGCUCAUUGACGUUACCCGCAGAAGAAGCACCGGCUAACUCCGUGCCAGCAGCCGCGGUAAUACGGAGGGUGCAAGCGUUAAUCGGAAUUACUGGGCGUAAAGCGCACGCAGGCGGUUUGUUAAGUCAGAUGUGAAAUCCCCGGGCUCAACCUGGGAACUGCAUCUGAUACUGGCAAGCUUGAGUCUCGUAGAGGGGGGUAGAAUUCCAGGUGUAGCGGUGAAAUGCGUAGAGAUCUGGAGGAAUACCGGUGGCGAAGGCGGCCCCCUGGACGAAGACUGACGCUCAGGUGCGAAAGCGUGGGGAGCGAACAGGAUUAGAUACCCUGGUAGUCCACGCCGUAAACGAUGUCGACUUGGAGGUUGUGCCCUUGAGGCGUGGCUUCCGGAGCUAACGCGUUAAGUCGACCGCCUGGGGAGUACGGCCGCAAGGUUAAAACUCAAAUGAAUUGACGGGGGCCCGCACAAGCGGUGGAGCAUGUGGUUUAAUUCGAUGCAACGCGAAGAACCUUACCUGGUCUUGACAUCCACGGAAGUUUUCAGAGAUGAGAAUGUGCCUUCGGGAACCGUGAGACAGGUGCUGCAUGGCUGUCGUCAGCUCGUGUUGUGAAAUGUUGGGUUAAGUCCCGCAACGAGCGCAACCCUUAUCCUUUGUUGCCAGCGGUCCGGCCGGGAACUCAAAGGAGACUGCCAGUGAUAAACUGGAGGAAGGUGGGGAUGACGUCAAGUCAUCAUGGCCCUUACGACCAGGGCUACACACGUGCUACAAUGGCGCAUACAAAGAGAAGCGACCUCGCGAGAGCAAGCGGACCUCAUAAAGUGCGUCGUAGUCCGGAUUGGAGUCUGCAACUCGACUCCAUGAAGUCGGAAUCGCUAGUAAUCGUGGAUCAGAAUGCCACGGUGAAUACGUUCCCGGGCCUUGUACACACCGCCCGUCACACCAUGGGAGUGGGUUGCAAAAGAAGUAGGUAGCUUAACCUUCGGGAGGGCGCUUACCACUUUGUGAUUCAUGACUGGGGUG